AGCUUUUGCUUCGCCGCCUUUCGCAUCACCCGCUCAGUUGCGACUGGAAGUAGGCGCAGGCGGAUCUGCGUGCGCCGAGUCUUGUUGUUCUGUUUUCUCUUCGGUAUCGCCGUUGUACCCACCUCGCAGCCCUCCAUCUCUUUCUUCCCUGCACGCAUCACCCCUGUCACCACGAUGGACGUCAUACCGCUGGUUGCACAAGAGAUUGUGGCUCGCUAUCACAAGCAGGCAGGGGACCGCCCCAUGGGCUCCGCCAUCACGGUCGACCUUGCAGCGCUGCUGACGCGUCUCUGGCUGCUGAAGGAGCGUGACCGAUUUGAUGACGCCGGUGAUGUGGCGGCGAGCGUUCUUCAUAUCGAAGCCCUGGCAGACGACGUGCUUGAUUAUCUUCUCCAUCGCUGCAGUCUCCCUAGCCUCGCCACGUUGUCCUUGCAGGUCCGCUGCGACACGCUGCGCAGGUCUCGCGAAGAGCAGCAGCACAAGGCAGAGGUGAAGAAGGAGGCCAUCCGAGUGCAGCUGGAGGGGGCACUGAUGUCCAUGGAGCCUGGGAUGGUGAGCGCCGAACAAGUCUGGAACUCUCUCGCGGUCUGCUUUGUGCAUCACUACAGUGACCUUGGCUCACUGGCGUCGGCCACGGCGAAGGCUGGUAGCGGCAGCAGCGGCACCUCCCACAGCGAGACUCUCUCUGCCGUCAGCGCGGCCCUCCCUCGUGCACAGGUGACUGCGUUCCUACGUCAGGACCGCGUGGAGCGGGCGGGCCAGCUGCGGCAGCUUCGUCGCAUCGCAUGGGGGCUGCGGCUCUAUCAGAAGGAGACGGGCCGCGCCGCCGGCAUGGACUUGAUGUCGCUGUCCACCACUGUGGACACACCGCUGGCGGAGCUUGAGGCAAAGGCGGAGGAGGCGGUGGCUGAGCUGGAGCCACGGGUGCGCCUCUCGCGUGCACUGCUAGUGUCUCCGACCUGUCCUCUCGGUGCCGCGGCCCAGCAGCAGCUCAAGGAGGAGUACCACCACCUUCUUCUGGUCCAGCACGUUCUCCGGCAUGUGCAGUGCGGUCUUCAGCAGCUCCGCGAGUGCAUCAACAGCCGCGUCAUGCAGCCAUACGCAUCGCUUUUAGCCGAGCUGCGGCAGUUGAUGCCGGCGAGCAAAGCGGCCGCCGCUGCGCAGGCGGCCUCGUCCGCGGCCACCUCCGCCUCUUCACCGGCCGCCGCUGCCGCCGCACCUGGUGGGGCCGCGCCGAAGAAGGUGGUGUUCCCAAAGUUCAUGGAGCUGGCUGACGCGUAUGAGGCGGGCAUGCGCUGUGCCGGUGAGCUCGCGCUUUGGUCGACGCUGCUGCGCGUUGCAACAGAGUCCGCCGCCGGAUACGACUCGACGCUGCCCAGAACCGCCGCAGAGGAAGCGCUCGCCCUCGCGGAGGCUGCACCGGCACCCCCUGUCACCUCUGCCAGUGCCCUGGCUGCCGAGGUCGGUGCCCUGCUUGACUCCGACGCAACGCGGCAGCGACUUCCUCCUGGUGUUCACGUGCGCUACCGCGCCGACCUCCCGCUGCACACGGUCGACCCUACCGUGGCGCGGGUUUACCCCGAGUCCCUCUGCGCUAUGCGAGGCUACUGCCCCGUUCAACUGCUCGCCGGGCGUCCAACCGCCGGGCUGCUGAUACCUGGCCAAGUUCCGUCAGAGCCUUCAUCGUCCUCGCCGUCGAAGACGUCGUUGGGAUGUAUGGAGGUGAGCGGCAGCGCCCGCCGCGUCGCCAUGGCGCGCCCACUCUACUUCAUCUUUGCGGACGCGACUGCGAUGCGCGCCUUUGCGGCUGAUCCGUGGCGGUACGUGGAGGGCUGCCUGCACCUUUUCCACGCCGCCGAUCCGUGCCUGACUCUUGUGAUGGGGAGAGCCGACGAACUGCCGCGCGAGCUGUACUUGGAGGGGGCGCGCGUGGUGGAGCGGCUGACGAGUGACUUAACAAGCGCACAGCACGAGCAGGAGAACAGGCAGAGCUGCGGCACGCAGACGGGGCAGAUCGACUCUUACAUCGACCACAACUACUUCUGGAACGAGUGGGAUCUCCGUCGACACGCGCUGAAGCUGGCCAAUCUCAUGCAGAUGCGCACGCAUUCCUCGCAGACUGCCGCGCUGCACUUCCGCCGUGAGGCAGCGACGCAGGCAGACCCGAGAAAAGAAUCCGAGGCGCAGACGCUGCACAAUGCGGCAACGCAGCCGCCGCAUGUCGCGCAGUAUCUGAAGGGGCUUCGCGGCACUUACACGUCGGCGAUUGAGCAGGUGCGCAAAGUCAUCGAGCACUGAAGCAGAUGCCGUGCCCUUGUCUCUGUAUGCGCGUGCGUGUGGAGGUGUGCUCGGUAUGGGGGAGUCUUCAUGUGCUCGUCCUUGGCCGCCGGCUGCUUCAUGCGUAUGUGCAGUUGCUGCAUGGCAGUCCUCCAUCUUUCCCUCUUCCCGCCAUCUCCCUGCCUCCCAUCUCCUUCCCACGGACACUCAUUACUGUUCUCGUCCUCGUGAG
rnacentral:misc_RNA from 1 species